AGUGCAACCAGAGUCACACCCAUGAAUGAAGUCGAUGAAGUUGAUCCAGCUCCAUAGAAAUAUACCAAGUCUCUAACAUUCCAAGAGAGUUGGAAAGGAGGCCUGGACUACAGAAAAGGGAGGAUUUCCAGUCAGUCAAAAGCCUGAAAGAAUAAGGCUUCCUGGUUGAUAGAGGUCAUCAUUUGAGGCGCCUCCACGAUGGCCAUCAAACCUGUUUUCCACCACAUUUUACAGCUUCAUCUGCUAAUUCCAGUGCUUGUACAAGAACAAUAUCAUCAUUAGAGGAGAAAAUGGUCAGAGGAGGUGUAUCUGGAUCAGGGAAGUUACGCUGAAGUGGAUCAUAAUGGAUACCAUCAUAAAUAAGCAGAACCCUUUUGUACUGCCUCACUAUAGAAGUCCGGAUCGCUUGCUACAAUUUGUGCUAUGAGGCGUCUCAUCUCAGGGGCACAAGCCGGAUUCAAGACUCCUCCUUCGACGACAUAGUACACACUGGUAAACAGGCAAGAGUUGUCUGCUGGGACCACGGUUCUGGUAAGCACAGGCAAAGUU
rnacentral:sRNA from 1 species